UACGAAGGGGGCUAGCGUUGUUCGGAUUUACUGGGCGUAAAGCGCGUGUAGGCGGAUCGUUAAGUCGGGGGUGAAAGCCCAGAGCUCAACUCUGGAAUUGCCUUCGAUACUGGCGGUCUGGAGCAGAGAAGAGGCGAGUGGAAAUCCGAGUGUAGAGGUGAAAUUCGUAGAUAUUCGGAGGAACACCAGUGGCGAAGGCGGCUCGCUGGUCUCUUGCUUGCGCUGAGACGCGAAAGCGUGGGGAGCAAACAGG
rnacentral:rRNA from 1 species